rnacentral:rRNA from 1 species
UACGAAGGGGGCUAGCGUUGCUCGGAAUCACUGGGCGUAAAGCGCACGUAGGCGGCUUUCUAAGUCAGGGGUGAAAUUCCUGGGCUCAACCUGGGGACUGCGCUUGAUACGGCAGAGCUAGAGGAUGGAAGAGGCUCGCGGAAUUCCCAGUGUAGAGGUGAAAUUCGUAGAUAUUGGGAAGAACACCGGUGGCGAAGGCGGCGAGCUGGUCCAUUACUGACGCUGAGGCGCGACAGCGUGGGGAGCAAACAGG